AAAAAAAAGGAAAAAGAAAACCUCUAAGAUAGUUAUCGUCUUCCUCAUUCGGAAGUUUGUUUCCUCAUGGGGAUUUUCCUUAUUCCUGCACUAAAACGAAGUGAUAAGAAGUGCAAAAAUAACAACAUAUAAAGGAAUCAUAUUACACGUUCCGUUCCCCCAACCAAACACGCCAUAAGAGUUCAGAGUGACAAUGGCACGUAUUGGUUUCAGUUUCAGAACCAGCCGACAUCUGUUAAUUCGAUCAUCAUCACUUUCUUCACCUUCUCAAUCUCAACAGUUUCUCCGCCAGAUGAGCAUGGCCACACAAAGCGCU